rnacentral:rRNA from 1 species
CCUACGGGCGGCAGCAGUGAGGAAUAUUGGUCAAUGGCCGAGAGGCUGAACCAGCCAAGUCGCGUGAGGGAAGACGGCCCUACGGGUUGUAAACCUCUUUUGUCGGGGAGCAAAGCGAACCACGUGUGGUUCAUUGAGAGUACCCGAAGAAAAAGCAUCGGCUAACUCCGUGCCAGCAGCCGCGGUAAUACGGAGGAUGCGAGCGUUAUCCGGAUUUAUUGGGUUUAAAGGGUGCGUAGGCGGAUUGAUAAGUUAGAGGUGAAAUGUCCGAGCUUAACUCGGGAACUGCCUCUAAUACUGUUGAUCUAGAGAGUAGAUGCGGUAGGCGGAAUGUAUGGUGUAGCGGUGAAAUGCUUAGAGAUCAUACAGAACACCAAUUGCGAAGGCAGCUUACUAAACUGCCACUGACAUUGAUGCUCGAAAGUGUGGGUAUCAAACAGGAUUAGAUACCCGAGUAGUC